GACGAACGCUGGCGGCGUGCUUAACACAUGCAAGUCGAGCGGUAAGGCCCUUUCGGGGGUACACGGGCGGCGAACGGGUGAGUAACACGUGGGUGACCUGCCCUCAGCUCUGGGAUAAGCCUGGGAAACCGGGUCUAAUACUCGGAUAUGACUCCAUGACGCAUGUUGUGGGGUGGAAAGCCUUCGUGCGGCUGAGGAUGGGCCCGCGGCCUAUCAGCUUGUUGGUGGGGUAACGGCCUACCAAGGCGACGAUCGGUAGCUGGUCUGAGAGGACGACCAGCCACACUGGGACUGAGACACGGCCCAGACUCCUACGGGAGGCA
rnacentral:rRNA from 1 species